rnacentral:rRNA from 1 species
GAUGAACGCUGGCGGCGUGCCUAAUACAUGCAAGUCGAGCGAACAGAUGAGAAGCUUGCUUCUCUGAUGUUAGCGGCGGACGGGUGAGUAACACGUGGGUAACCUACCUAUAAGACUGGGAUAACUCCGGGAAACCGGGGCUAGUACCGGAUAAUAUUUUGAACCGCAUGGUUCAAUAGUGAAAGACGGUUUCGGCUGUCACUUAUAGAUGGACCCGCGCCGUAUUAGCUAGUUGGUAAGGUAACGGCUUACCAAGGCGACGAUACGUAGCCGACCUGAGAGGGUGAUCGGCCACACUGGAACUGAGACACGGUCCAGACUCCUACGGGAGGCAGCAGUAGGGAAUCUUCCGCAAUGGGCGAAAGCCUGACGGAGCAACGCCGCGUGAGUGAUGAAGGUCUUCGGAUCGUAAAACUCUGUUGUUAGGGAAGAACAAAUUUGUUAGUAACUGAACAAGUCUUGACGGUACCUAACCAGAAAGCCACGGCUAACUACGUGCCAGCAGCCGCGGUAAUACGUAGGUGGCAAGCGUUAUCCGGAAUUAUUGGGCGUAAAGCGCGCGUAGGCGGUUUCUUAAGUCUGAUGUGAAAGCCCACGGCUCAACCGUGGAGGGUCAUUGGAAACUGGGAAACUUGAGUGCAGAAGAGGAGAGUGGAAUUCCAUGUGUAGCGGUGAAAUGCGCAGAGAUAUGGAGGAACACCAGUGGCGAAGGCGGCUCUCUGGUCUGUAACUGACGCUGAUGUGCGAAAGCGUGGGGAUCAAACAGGAUUAGAUACCCUGGUAGUCCACGCCGUAAACGAUGAGUGCUAAGUGUUAGGGGGUUUCCGCCCCUUAGUGCUGCAGCUAACGCAUUAAGCACUCCGCCUGGGGAGUACGACCGCAAGGUUGAAACUCAAAGGAACUGACGGGGACCCGCACAAGCGGUGGAGCAUGUGGUUUAAUUCGAAGCAACGCGAAGAACCUUACCAAAUCUUGACAUCCUUUGACCGCUCUAGAGAUAGAGUCUUCCCCUUCGGGGGACAAAGUGACAGGUGGUGCAUGGUUGUCGUCAGCUCGUGUCGUGAGAUGUUGGGUUAAGUCCCGCAACGAGCGCAACCCUUAAGCUUAGUUGCCAUCAUUAAGUUGGGCACUCUAGGUUGACUGCCGGUGACAAACCGGAGGAAGGUGGGGAUGACGUCAAAUCAUCAUGCCCCUUAUGAUUUGGGCUACACACGUGCUACAAUGGAUAAUACAAAGGGCAGCGCAUCCGCGAGGCCAAGCAAAUCCCAUAAAAUUAUUCUCAGUUCGGAUUGUAGUCUGCAACUCGACUACAUGAAGCUGGAAUCGCUAGUAAUCGUAGAUCAGCAUGCUACGGUGAAUACGUUCCCGGGUCU